CAAUAGCGUAUAUUAAAGUUGUUGCGGUUAAAAAGCUCGUAGUUGGAUUUCUGUCGAAGACGGUCGGUCCGCUCUAUGAGCGAGUAUCUGAUUCGGCUUUGGCAUCCUCGUGGGGAACGUAACUGUGCUUGAUUGCAUGGUGCGGAAUUCACGACUUUUACUUUGAGGAAAUUAGAGUGUUUCAAGCAGGCAUGCGCCUUGAAUACAUUAGCAUGGAAUAAUAAGAUAGGACCUCGGUUCUAUUUUGUUGGUUUCUAGAGCUGAGGUAAUGAUUAAUAGGGAUAGUUGGGGGUAUUCAUAUUUAAAUUGUCAGAGGUGAAAUUCUUGGAUUUAUGAAAGAUGAACUUAGGCGAAAGCAUUUACCAAGGAUGUUUUCAUUAAUCAAGAACGAAAGUUAGGGAUCGAAGAUGAUUAGAUAUCAU
rnacentral:rRNA from 1 species